AAAUAUUUUUAUUUCGAAUAUUAUCAUUUUAAAUACUCUAUUUACAGUAUGUUUCUCAACCAUGACAAGCAAAAUCUCCUUUUAAGUUCAGAAAAUAUAAUCUUGAAAAAGUAUAAGAGAGAAUAUGAUCUUUCCUUUUUUGGUAUGGUCUAGAUUUUCGUUUAUAGUUCCACCAUUUAAUUCUUUCUUACGACGUCGUAAAUAUGUUUUUGCGAGGAAGUUGAUUUGAAGUAGAUCGAGUUUCGCACUUGAGAAAAAUAAUUUUGUUCUUUCCCAAUUUGUGUAUUUUUCCAUAAUGAAAAUAUCUCAAUGUAAGAUUUGGUCAAGCUUUUGAGAAAACGUUUAUGAAGAGGACUUUGCGAAGAAUUCGUUUGAGUUCUUUGUCUUUAUUUUAAAGUAUUUUUUAAUCUAUAUCUCCUAAUAUGUUACGUAAAUAAAUUUUACUUAUGAAUAAAUAUCACGAUUACACACUUGCAUAGUGACUAACUAGUUCAAAUAUACAUAUCGGUAAUAAUUUUAAUUAAUUAGUCUACACUACCAGAUGUGUGUCUAACACAUUCCCGUUAUAAUACUCUCAUUUUGUUCAGAUUAAUUUUGUUAUUAUUAUUAUUAUUAUCCUUUGUUUAACUCAAAUAUAUUUCAAAAUCUUUUUGUUGUUAAUUUAAAUUCAAAAUUUUAAUUUUAGGACACCGAAAAGGGAAAAAAAUCUUUUUCUUAUUAAAUCCAACUCAAUUUUUUUUUUUUUUAAAAAAAAAGAAGAAUCAGAAGCCUCCUUUAAUUUCACCCCAAACAAACCAAACCCAGCUCACCAGAAAUACCAAAAAACGGCGCCGUUUGAUAUGUUCUUCAUUGUCCAAAUAAAUGGCGAAUAAAGGAGAGAAGCUCAUAUAGGACCAUGGUAGAGAGGCAUGCAUCGGGAAGAGGGAAGCUCACAAGGAAGGCGACAGGGCGACAGAGGCAGAAAGGGUAUCAGCCAGAGAGACGAUGAGACAGAGCUAGGCACAGAGAGAGAGAGAGAAGCUCAUAUAGGACCAUGGUAGAGAGGCAUGCAUCAGGAAGAGGGAAGCUCACAAGGAAGGCGACAGGGCGACAGAGGCAGAAAGGGUAUCAGCCAGAGAGACGAUGAGACAGAGCUAGGCACAGAGAGAGAGAGAGAGAGAGACAGAGAGAGAGACGAUGAAUAAAACUUUAUAUUAUCAUGGUGGUAAUAAGUGCCUCACAUUUUUUCACCUUGACCACCUUGAAUCGUACCUACUUUAGAUAUCUAAUUCCACCUCAAAUAAAUUAGUAGAAACUCUCUUAAAAUUUCAUGAUAAUAAUUAGGUUUUCUAGGAGGCUUUGCUAUCUAAUUACCCGAAGUUGUGAGACACCCUUUUCGUACCAUUUUGGUCCCGAUUUUAACAUAUUUUUUAUUCAUACUUUUCAAUUAUAAUUUAUGCAAGUUUGCUAUAUAUAUAUAUAUAUAUAGUUUAAUGAACACGA
rnacentral:lncRNA from 1 species